CCUACGGGUGGCAGCAGUGAGGAAUAUUGGUCAAUGGACGAGAGUCUGAACCAGCCAAGUAGCGUGAAGGAUGACUGCCCUAUGGGUUGUAAACUUCUUUUAUAUGGGAAUAAAAUGUUCCACGUGUGGGAUUUUGUAUGUACCAUAUGAAUAAGGAUCGGCUAACUCCGUGCCAGCAGCCGCGGUAAUACGGAGGAUCCGAGCGUUAUCCGGAGUUAUUGGGUUUAAAGGGGGCGUAGGUGGAUUGUUAAGUCAGUUGUGAAAGUUUGCGGCUCAAACGUAAAAUUGCAGUUGAAACUGGCAGGUGUGAGUACAGGAGAGGUGGGCGGAAUUCGUGGUGUAGCCGCGAAAUGCUUAGAUAUCACGAAGAACUCCGAUUGCGAAGGCAGUUUACUGGACUGCAACUGACACUGAGGCUCGAAAGUGUGGGUAUCAAACAGGAUUAGAUACCCUAGUAGUCC
rnacentral:rRNA from 1 species